rnacentral:rRNA from 1 species
AUUGAACGCUGGCGGCGUGCCUAACACAUGCAAGUCGAGCGGCAGCGCGGGAGCAAUCCUGGCGGCGAGCGGCGGACGGGUGAGUAACGCUUGGGAAUCUGCCUGUUAGUGGGGGACAACCCGGGGAAACUCGGGCUAAUACCGCAUACGCACUACGGUGGAAAGCCGGGACCGCAAGGCCUGGCGCUAACAGAUGAGCCCAAGUCGGAUUAGCUAGUUGGUAGGGUAACGGCCACCAAGGCGACGAUCCGUAACUGGUCUGAGAGGACGACCAGUCACACCGGAACUGAGACACGGUCCGGACUCCUACGGGAGGCAGCAGUGGGGAAUAUUGGACAAUGGGGGAAACCCUGAUCCAGCGACGCCGCGUGGGUGAAGAAGGCCUGCGGGUUGUAAAGCCCUUCCAGU